rnacentral:rRNA from 1 species
UACGGAGGGUGCAAGCGUUAUCCGGAUUUACUGGGUUUAAAGGGUGCGUAGGCGGGCAGGUAAGUCAGUGGUGAAAUCUUCGAGCUUAACUCGGAAACUGCCUUUGAUACUAUCUGUCUUGAAUAUUGUGGAGGUAAGCGGAAUAUGUCAUGUAGCGGUGAAAUGCUUAGAUAUGACAUAGAACACCUAUUGCGAAGGCAGCUUACUACGCAUAUAUUUGACGCUGAGGCAACGAAAGCGUGGGGGAUCAAAACAGG